rnacentral:rRNA from 1 species
UACGGAGGGUGCAAGCGUUGCUCGGAAUUAUUGGGCGUAAAGGGUAGGUAGGUGGUCUCAUUUGUCUGAGGUGAAAGCCCAGGGCUUAACCCUGGAAGUGCCUCAGAAACGGUGAGACUCGAGUACUGGAGAGGGUCGUGGAAUUCCCGGUGUAGCGGUGAAAUGCGUAGAGAUCGGGAGGAACACCAGAGGCGAAGGCGGCGACCUGGACAGUUACUGACACUCAACUACGAAAGCGUGGGGAGCAAACAGG